CAGCAGGAAGCGGUCCUGAGGGUUUGCCCACUGGGCCUCACGGCCUGCCCUGAGGAACUGGACGAUGGGCCUCUCCCUCUGCAGGCUCAGGAGGGCCGUCUCGGGCAGUGCUGUGGGGUGAGGGGCUCUCAGGGCAGCCCACAUGUCUUGGGGUCCGCAGAUAGCAAGAGGGGACGUUGGGUGGGGGGGUCUGUGGGAGCCAAGCCAUGGCCCCCAAUCCGGAGUCACAGGGAGGAGGCUGGCCUGACCAUAGGCUCCCAGGGGCCUUGGGCAGGGCCCAGAUGGGCCGGGCAUGGGGUGGGGGCAGAUCUGUGUGAGAGGCCGUGGGUAUGAGCAUGUGGUGUGAGCUCAUGAAAGCCUGGGUUGAGCCAGGGCCCAUCCUCCCAGCAUCCUCCUCCUCUCCUUCCCCCUCUGCCCUCCCCCUCUCCUCCCUGAAUCUGUCAAACUACCAGCCUCCGGACUGCCCCUGUCCUGACCGCCCUGGGACCCACGGGCACCAGGGUGCUUGGCACAGUCUUCUCAGGUCCCUGUUUUUAUGUAGAGCUCAGACAAGAAGCACCAUUCCUAGUUUUCUUCAAGGCCAACCCCGACCUGGAGAACCACCUUCUCGUCUCCUUGGCAACUCCGCCUCAGAACCACAGCAGCUCAGGGCCUGGGCGAGGCCGCCAUGUGGGGCGGCUGGAAAAGCCGGUUCUCUGGGGCCUCCUGCCCCUGGCCAGCCUGUGCUAACAGGUGGGUCCCAGGGUUCAGGAAUGCUUGGGAAGGCUCUGGGCUCGGCAGCGGGGCAGCCAGGAGCCAGGCGAAGACAGAGGCGGGAAACAAAUGGCCUGUCAAGAUUCCUAAUUAAGGUACCGCGUAAGUGAUGGCUCUCUGCUCGGACCAAGGAGAACCAGCCAACACCAGCUGCUGCAGGACCAGCCCAUUUGCUCUGGCCAGAGGAGGAGAUUCGCAGCGCUGAGUUCAGUGUCCUGCUAGGAAACAGGAGCUUUUCAACCACAAAGGAAGGAGAGAGAAGCCCCACGAGAGGCAGGAUGAGACCCUGGCUCCCACUUUCUCCCCCUCUAGGGGUGCCCCCUCUGCCCUGGGGACCAGGGUCCCGCCCAGCCCAGCUCAGCCCAGCCCCAGCUGGGAGAGGGGUCAGUGUGGCCACCCUGGGCCCCCGAAACAAUUCUGGGGACUUAUGGCUUUGUCUUGCAUUUUCUGUUCUUUAUAUAAAUCACGUUUUAAUGAAAUAAAGUAUCAUAAAAGCUGCUCAU